rnacentral:rRNA from 1 species
UACGGAGGGUGCAAGCGUUAUCCGGAUUCACUGGGUUUAAAGGGUGCGUAGGAGGGCAGGGAAGUCAGUGGUGAAAUCUCCGAGCUUAACUCGGAAACUGCCGUUGAUACUCUCUGUCUUGAAUACCGUGGAGGUGAGCGGAAUAUGUCAUGUAGCGGUGAAAUGCUUAGAUAUGACAUAGAACACCAAUUGCGAAGGCAGCUCGCUACACGAAUAUUGACUCUGAGGCACGAAAGCGUGGGGAUCAAACAGG